GCCGGGCAUGGUGGCUCAUGCCUGUAAUCCUAGCACCUUCGGAGGCUGAGGUGGGUGGAUCACUUGAGGUCAGGAGUUCGAGACCAGCCUGGUCAACAUGGUGAAACCCCAUCUCUA
ensembl:misc_RNA Metazoa_SRP Metazoan signal recognition particle RNA